rnacentral:rRNA from 1 species
CCUACGGGAGGCAGCAGUGAGGAAUAUUGGUCAAUGGACGAGAGACUGAACCAGCCAAGUAGCGUGAAGGAUGACUGCCCUAUGGGUUGUAAACUUCUUUUAUAAAGGAAUAAAACGAGGCACGUGUGCCUUUUUGCAUGUACUUUAUGAAUAAGGAUCGGCUAACUCCGUGCCAGCAACCGCGGUAAUACGGAGGAUCCGAGCGUUAUCCGGGUUUAUUGGGUUUAAAGGGAGCGUAGAUGGGUUUUUUAGUCAGUUGUGAAAGUUUGCGGCUCAACCGUAAAAUUGCAAUUGAUACUGGCAGUCUUGAGUACAGUUGAGGUAGGCGGAAUUCGUGGUGGAGCGGUGAAAUGCUUAGAUAUCACGAAGAACCCCGAUUGCGAAGGCAGCUUACUAAACUGUGACUGACAUUGAUGCUCGAAAGUGUGGGUAUCAAACAGGAUUAGAUACCCGGGUAGUC